rnacentral:rRNA from 1 species
ACGCACGCUGGCGGCGUGCCUAAUACAUGCAAGUAGAACGCUGAAGGAGGAGCUUGCUUCUCUGGAUGAGUUGCGAACGGGUGAGUAACGCGUAGGUAACCUGCCUGGUAGCGGGGGAUAACUAUUGGAAACGAUAGCUAAUACCGCAUAAUAGUAGAUGUUGCAUGACAUUUGCUUAAAAGGUGCAAUUGCAUCACUACCAGAUGGACCUGCGUUGUAUUAGCUAGUUGGUGGGGUAACGGCUCACCAAGGCGACGAUACAUAGCCGACCUGAGAGGGUGAUCGGCCACACUGGGACUGAGACACGGCCCAGACUCCUACGGGAGGCAGCAGUAGGGAAUCUUCGGCAAUGGACGGAAGUCUGACCGAGCAACGCCGCGUGAGUGAAGAAGGUUUUCGGAUCGUAAAGCUCUGUUGUAAGAGAAGAACGAGUGUGAGAGUGGAAAGUUCACACUGUGACGGUAUCUUACCAGAAAGGGACGGCUAACUACGUG